GACGAACGCUGGCGGCGUGCUUAACACAUGCAAGUCGAGCGGAAAGGCCCUGCUUUUGUGGGGUGCUCGAGUGGCGAACGGGUGAGUAACACGUGAGUAACCUGCCCUUGACUUUGGGAUAACUUCAGGAAACUGGGGCUAAUGCCGGAUAGGAGCUCCUGCUGCAUGGUGGGGGUUGGAAAGUUUCGGCGGUUGGGGAUGGACUCGCGGCUUAUCAGCUUGUUGGUGGGGUAGUGGCUUACCAAGGCUUUGACGGGUAGCCGGCCUGAGAGGGUGACCGGCCACAUUGGGACUGAGAUACGGCCCAGACUCCUACGGGAGGCAGCAGUGGGGAAUAUUGCACAAUGGGCGGAAGCCUGAUGCAGCAACGCCGCGUGCGGGAUGACGGCCUUCGGGUUGUAAACCGCUUUCGCCUGUGACGAAGCGUGAGUGACGGUAAUGGGUAAAGAAGCACCGGCUAACUACGUG
rnacentral:rRNA from 1 species